CAGCCGCCGCGGUAAUACGAAGGGGGCUAGCGUUGCUCGGAAUCACUGGGCGUAAAGGGUGCGUAGGCGGGUUCUUAAGUCAGAGGUGAAAUCCUGGAGCUCAACUCCAGAACUGCCUUUGAUACUGAAAGUCUUGAGUAUGGGAGAGGUGAGUGGAACUGCGAGUGUAGAGGUGAAAUUCGUAGAUAUUCGCAAGAACACCAGUGGCGAAGGCGGCUCACUGGCCCAUUACUGACGCUGAGGCACGAAAGCGUGGGGAGCAAACAGGAUUAGAUACCCCGGUAGUCCCUGUCUCUUAUAA
rnacentral:rRNA from 1 species